rnacentral:rRNA from 1 species
GAUGAACGCUGGCGGCGUGCCUAAUACAUGCAAGUCGAGCGAACAGACGAUGAGCUUUCUCCUCUGACGUUAGCGGCGGACGGGUGAGUAACACGUGGAUAACCUACCUAUAAGACUGGGAUAACUUCGGGAAACCGGAUCUAAUACCGGAUAAUAUAUUGAACCGCAUGGUUCAAUAGUGAAAGACGGUUUUGCUGUCACUUAUAGAUGGAUCCGCGCCGCAUUAGCUAGUUGGUAAGGUAACGGCUUACCAAGGCGACGAUGCGUAGCCGACCUGAGAGGGUGAUCGGCCACACUGGAACUGAGACACGGUCCAGACUCCUACGGGAGGCAGCAGUAGGGAAUCUUCCGCAAUGGGCGAAAGCCUGACGGAGCAACGCCGCGUGAGUGAUGAAGGUCUUCGGAUCGUAAAACUCUGUUAUUAGGGAAGAACAAAUGUGUAAGUAACUAUGCACGUCUUGACGGUACCUAAUCAGAAAGCCACGGCUAACUACGUG